UUAAGCGACUAAGCGUACACGGUGGAUGCCCUGGCAGUCAGAGGCGAUGAAGGACGUGCUAAUCUGCGAUAAGCGUCGGUAAGGUGAUAUGAACCGUUAUAACCGGCGAUUUCCGAAUGGGGAAACCCAGUGUGAUUCGUCACACUAUCAUUAACUGAAUCCAUAGGUUAAUGAGGCGAACCGGGGGAACUGAAACAUCUAAGUACCCCGAGGAAAAGAAAUCAACCGAGAUUCCCCCAGUAGCGGCGAGCGAACGGGGAGGAGCCCAGAGCCUGAAUCAGUGUGUGUGUUAGUGGAAGCGUCUGGAAAGGCGCGCGAUACAGGGUGACAGCCCCGUACACAAAAAUGCACAUACUGUGAGCUCGAUGAGUAGGGCGGGACACGUGGUAUCCUGUCUGAAUAUGGGGGGACCAUCCUCCAAGGCUAAAUACUCCUGACUGACCGAUAGUGAACCAGUACCGUGAGGGAAAGGCGAAAAGAACCCCGGCGAGGGGAGUGAAAAAGAACCUGAAACCGUGUACGUACAAGCAGUGGGAGCACGCUUAGGCGUGUGACUGCGUACCUUUUGUAUAAUGGGUCAGCGACUUAUAUUCUGUAGCAAGGUUAACCGAAUAGGGGAGCCGAAGGGAAACCGAGUCUUAACUGGGCGUUAAGUUGCAGGGUAUAGACCCGAAACCCGGUGAUCUAGCCAUGGGCAGGUUGAAGGUUGGGUAACACUAACUGGAGGACCGAACCGACUAAUGUUGAAAAAUUAGCGGAUGACUUGUGGCUGGGGGUGAAAGGCCAAUCAAACCGGGAGAUAGCUGGUUCUCCCCGAAAGCUAUUUAGGUAGCGCCUCGUGAAUUCAUCUCCGGGGGUAGAGCACUGUUUCGGCAAGGGGGUCAUCCCGACUUACCAACCCGAUGCAAACUGCGAAUACCGGAGAAUGUUAUCACGGGAGACACACGGCGGGUGCUAACGUCCGUCGUGAAGAGGGAAACAACCCAGACCGCCAGCUAAGGUCCCAAAGUCAUGGUUAAGUGGGAAACGAUGUGGGAAGGCCCAGACAGCCAGGAUGUUGGCUUAGAAGCAGCCAUCAUUUAAAGAAAGCGUAAUAGCUCACUGGUCGAGUCGGCCUGCGCGGAAGAUGUAACGGGGCUAAACCAUGCACCGAAGCUGCGGCAGCGACGCUGAUGCGUUGUUGGGUAGGGGAGCGUUCUGUAAGCCUGCGAAGGUGUGCUGUGAGGCAUGCUGGAGGUAUCAGAAGUGCGAAUGCUGACAUAAGUAACGAUAAAGCGGGUGAAAAGCCCGCUCGCCGGAAGACCAAGGGUUCCUGUCCAACGUUAAUCGGGGCAGGGUGAGUCGACCCCUAAGGCGAGGCCGAAAGGCGUAGUCGAUGGGAAACAGGUUAAUAUUCCUGUACUUGGUGUUACUGCGAAGGGGGGACGGAGAAGGCUAUGUUGGCCGGGCGACGGUUGUCCCGGUUUAAGCGUGUAGGCUGGUUUUCCAGGCAAAUCCGGAAAAUCAAGGCUGAGGCGUGAUGACGAGGCACUACGGUGCUGAAGCAACAAAUGCCCUGCUUCCAGGAAAAGCCUCUAAGCAUCAGGUAACAUCAAAUCGUACCCCAAACCGACACAGGUGGUCAGGUAGAGAAUACCAAGGCGCUUGAGAGAACUCGGGUGAAGGAACUAGGCAAAAUGGUGCCGUAACUUCGGGAGAAGGCACGCUGAUAUGUAGGUGAAGCGACUUGCUCGUGGAGCUGAAAUCAGUCGAAGAUACCAGCUGGCUGCAACUGUUUAUUAAAAACACAGCACUGUGCAAACACGAAAGUGGACGUAUACGGUGUGACGCCUGCCCGGUGCCGGAAGGUUAAUUGAUGGGGUUAGCGCAAGCGAAGCUCUUGAUCGAAGCCCCGGUAAACGGCGGCCGUAACUAUAACGGUCCUAAGGUAGCGAAAUUCCUUGUCGGGUAAGUUCCGACCUGCACGAAUGGCGUAAUGAUGGCCAGGCUGUCUCCACCCGAGACUCAGUGAAAUUGAACUCGCUGUGAAGAUGCAGUGUACCCGCGGCAAGACGGAAAGACCCCGUGAACCUUUACUAUAGCUUGACACUGAACAUUGAGCAUUGAUGUGUAGGAUAGGUGGGAGGCUUUGAAGUGUGGACGCCAGUCUGCAUGGAGCCGACCUUGAAAUACCACCCUUUAAUGUUUGAUGUUCUAACGU
rnacentral:rRNA from 1 species